GAGUUGGUGAACACCCAUGAUCUGUAGAUGUCGCAGUUGGAAGGGUCCAGGAAGAUUUAUGCACAGGGAGAUGAUUAUCACGAGUACUUCAAGCGCUCAUUUGAGGAAGACAUCGCUGCGCAAGUGCCUCAAGGAGUGGAAUGGGGUUACAACUAUUGAUUGGGGGAAAUCAGGCAGAGGAGGGCAUGUUGACGGACCAAGUGGCGAGGCAAAAUUUUCUAAUGAUUUUGAAGUUCAUUAUAUUGGCAGUAGCUGAUGAUCCCUUCUGUGAUGGACCGAGUAAACCAAGCAAUUCGGGAUAUUCAACUCCACUUUGAUGACUGUGUGUACCAGCAUGAGAUGUUGAUUACAAUUCACGACAUAUUUAUUGUUGUUUAUUUUUUAUUUUUCAUAUUAUAGUGAUGUUUGUUGUUCCGUAUC